GAGAGAAUGAGCUACAGGACAAAGUACUAGUACUACGGUGAGUAUAUAUUAUUCAGUACCAAGUGCCAGUACUCCCCUUUUUAUUCAGUACCAGGUGCCGGUACUCGCCUUGUUAUUCAGUACCAGGUGCCGGUACUCGCCUUGUUAUUCAGUACCAGGUGCCGGUACUCCCCCUGUUAUUCAGUUCCAGGUGCCGGUACUCGCCUUGUUAUUCAGUACCAGGUUCCGGUACUCCCCUUGUUAUUCAGUACCAGGUUCUGGUACUCCCCCUGAUAUUCAGUACCAGGUGCCGGUACUCGCCUUGUUAUUCAGUACCAGGCGCCGGUACUCCCCCCGUUAUUCAGUACCAGGUGCCGGUACUCGCCUUGUUAUUCAGUACCAGGUUCCGGUACUCCCCUUGUUAUUCAGUACCAGGUUCUGGUACUCCCCCUGAUAUUCAGUACCAGAUGCCGGUACUCGCCUUGUUAUUCAGUACCAGGCGCCGGUACUCGCCUUGUUAUUUAGUACCAGGUUCCGGUACUCCCUGUGCUAUUCAGUACCAGUAGAU